ACAGCACACAUGUGGAGGUCAGAAGACAACUUUGUGGAGUCAGGUUGUCAGGGUUGCGUGGCAGGGGCUUUUUCCCACUGAGCCAUCUUGCCCCUGAUCUCCUGCUUAAAUCUUUCCAUCCACCUCCUCCUUCCUCCUGUCUCUUCAUCCCUGUCCUGGCUUAAGCCUUUCCUUUCCCAGUAUCCCCUGCUCUUCUGAUUUCAUAUCUUGUGUGUUCUGCUCGUCCCUCCCUCUCCGGAGCUCUUUCUAGUUUCUUGUUCUCUAUAGACACUUCAGAAUUAAACAAAUCUACGCAUGCAAAGCUGGGAUCUGCGUAUGAAAGAGAACGGGUAUUCAUACUGCAGAUGGUUGUGCGCCACCUUGUGGGUACUGGGAAUCAAACAGAGGCCCCUCUGCGAGAGUCAUAAGUGCCCUUAACCGCUGAGUCAUCUUUCUAGCACAGGAAAAUAGACUUUUAUUAGGAAGUGAAGACCCGCCUUCAGUGUUCAGUCGAUGUCUGACUACAGCACCAGAUCCCAGCGUUUUGGAGAUGCCAGUACCAUGGGAUGACCACCGAGAACAGCAGCAGCAGUGGAGGGGAGCUAUCCAAAGCCUAGGAGACGGGCUGCGUGAGCUGCAGAGGGUGGAUCCAGAGAAGUGGCCCAAGCCCUGGAGGAGCCCAGAAGAUCUUGAGUGACUCCCAGACACUGGACACUGCAGUUACACAGUUGAAGUUUGGUUUUGCUCCGUUCAAAUUGUGACUGUGCCCUGUCCCUUCCUGCUAAGUUUCAAAUCAGGGCCAAGGCUGAGGCGCCUAUUUAACAUAUCAAAGCAUAUCUGGCCUCCAGGUCCUUUCAGCAUCCUUCAGUCCCUACUGGGUACGGAUGUGGAUGCCAUGCCAUGCUAGUUUGAUACUGGCUAGUUUGAUAUCAACUUGACACAAGCUAGAGUCGUCAGUUAGGAGGGAGCCUCUGUUGAGAAAAUGCCUUCAAAAGAUCAGUCUGGAGGGCAUUGUCUUAUUUAGUGAUUGAUGGGGGAGGGCCCAGCCCAUUGUGGAUGGUGUUAUCCCUGGGCUGAUGGUCCUAAGUCCUAUUAGAAAGCUGUCUGGGAAGGAAGCCAGCACCCCUCCACGGCCUCUGCAUCAGCUCCAGCCCUGCCCUCCAGGUUCCUGCCCUGUGGGAGUUACUGGCCUGACUUUCUUCAGUGAUUGACUACCGAUGUGCAGGUGUAAGCCAAAUACACCCUUUCCUCCCCAACUAGUUUUUAGUCACGGUGUUUCAUUGCAGCAACUGAAAUCCUAAGGCACAGGGUCUCCCUAUGUUGUCUUGGCUGGCCUACAGUUUUCUGUACAGACCAAGCUGCGCUUGAACUCCCAGAGGUCCACCUGAAUCUGCCCAGAGUGCUGGGAUGAGAGGCGUGCACCACCAUUCACUUUUCUAUGUCCAUCAGAAAAUACAUAACAGUAUGUGUGCACAUGUGUGUCACAGUGCGUGUUUGGAGGUCAGAGCACGGACUGGGCUGUGGGCUCUAGCCGUUCACCUUGUUUGAGACAGGCCCUCUUGUUGACCUAGGAGCUCCAGAAUUGCAGAUGUGAGCCUGUGGGCUUCACAUGGACUCUAGGGAUCCAAACUCAGGGCCUCACUAGGGGUUCACCCACUGAGCCGGCUCCCGACUUCUCUAUUUAAAUUUUAAUAGUCUCAUAUGACACUGGAAUGUUCCCUCAGACUACAUGACAGUUUUAUAGGAAGCUGGAGAACGGCCCUUUCCUUCCUCCAAGGGAGACCAGUGGUUCUCAACAUGUGAGUCCUGACCCCUGAGUGGGUCAAAUGACCCCCUCCUAGGGGUUGCCCAAGACCACUGGAAAACACGGAUAUUUACAACUAAUAAUAGUAGCAAAGACAUGGUUAUGAAGUAACAAUGAAGUACUGUAUGGCUGGAGGUCACCACAGCAUGAGGAACUGUGUUAAAGGGUUAGGAAGGCUGAGAACCACUGCUCUCUUCCCUCUUGUCUUGCUCUCCAGUGCCUUUUGUUUCUCCGAGUCUUCUUCCCAGACAGGACACGUCUAGGGAGCAGUCUGAACUAUUUGGAGGAGGACGCCAAAGUCGCCUUCUGCUGACAUCGUUCAGCAGCAGCAUCUCCUUCAGCUGACAUCGUUCAGCAGCAGUUUCCAGUCCCAGUUGCCUUCCUCGGAUUCCUCUUUAUUAGGAGUCCACGCCACAGCGUAGAGGUCAGCAAACAGUUCUCAGGAGUCACUUCUCUCCUGUCACCUAUGGGAGCUGGGGAGGGAACUCACUGCUGAGCCAAGACAUCAGCUCAGAACCAGUGACCCAGGGCUUCUUUUUACAUGAAGAAUCUUCACAGUGACCUUGAACUUGAGAUGAGCCUUCUGAAACUGCAAGACAAAGCCUUUCUUUCCUGUUCUUCAAUCUCUACUUAUUAAGCACUGUACAAACCACAGACACGGUCUCUGGAGAAAAACAUCUUCUCUUGAGGGUCUUGGUAAUAAGAAAAAAAAAAACCCACAACAAAACAGAACAUCUAUCCCUAACUAAAGAAAGGAUGGAGUUGUAUGGAGACACUCCUACGUAGGGAUCAUUGUAGAAGAGAGGGCAGAAGGACUUCAGCAUCCAGAGGAUCAGCAGUUUGUUAUAAGAUCGUGUCUCCUUGGGAUGUCAGAGGAUACACCCACAAGUCUCACCAAGAAGACUGCCUAAAACAUGAAUGGAGCAAGGAUGACACCAACAGACAAGCCACGCUGGACAGGGAAAAGCCCAAGAGGCCUCGACCUUACACAGAGAACUACAGACCUGAGCAACACCAAGAGUGAGGCAGCUAAUGCCCAGGAAGAGCAAACCAGUUGCUUAUCUAGUACCAAAUGGUCAGCCCAGAAAGCAUAUGAGAAACACUGUGCAGACUGAGCAGCUUAUAUUAAUGUCUUUAGAAAUAUGCUUAUACAUAUUGUAUGGGACAACAAUUUAUGCUAAAAGUAGCCACGACUUUGGAAGAGAGGAAGGGGUUAUAUAGGUUUGGA